rnacentral:rRNA from 1 species
GAUGAACGCUAGCUACAGGCUUAACACAUGCAAGUCGCGGGGCAGCAUGACAUCAGCUUGCUGAUGUUGAUGGCGACCGGCGCACGGGUGAGUAACGCGUAUCCAACCUGCCCUUUACUAUGGGACAGCCCGUCGAAAGGCGGAUUAAUACCGUAUGUUGUCAUGUUGAUGCAUAUUUUCAUGACCAAAGGCUUCGGCCGGUAAAGGAUGGGGAUGCGUCUGAUUAGCUUGCCGGCGGGGUAACGGCCCACCGGGGCGACGAUCAGUAGGGGUUCUGAGAGGAAGGUCCCCCACAUGGGAACUGAGACACGGUCCAA